UCCUGUGCGAUGCGGAAAGUGGAGCCCAGAGAGGCCUAGGAACUUGCCCACAGUCACAGAGCCUGUGAGGGCGGUUAGGACUCAGAUCUUGGUCAGACUCUUCCUUCCAGCCCCUCUGAGGCCUGGAUUGACAUCCUCUCCUGCGCCCCGAAGUCCCGCGGCCCCGUCCGCACUCCUGCCGGAAAAGCGGCUUCAAAGGUUGUCCCAAGAACCGAGAAGCUGACGACGAAGAGCACCAAGGGCAUUUUCGGAUUAGCAUACAUGAUGAUAUGUUUCCUGGCAUUCUGCCCCUGGCCCAUCAGCCCACUCUGUGGAUUUAAGGCUUGCUUCUUCAGGAAUGUGCAGAACUGUUCUGAAUACAGAUAAAGUAAAGAAUUCAAAACUCUUCUCCCAAGAAAGGUAUGCAGAGUGAUUUUUCAUACCUGUACAGUAAAGAGGUUGAGUCAAGCACUGCUUUUGAGCAGUAAGAAUAUUAGUA
rnacentral:lncRNA from 12 species